rnacentral:rRNA from 1 species
AUUGAACGCUGGCGGCAGGCUUAACACAUGCAAGUCGAGCGGGGUGAUGGUGCUUGCACUAUCACUUAGCGGCGGACGGGUGAGUAAUGCUUAGGAAUCUGCCUAUUAGUGGGAGACAACAUCUCGAAAGGGAUGCUGAUACCGCAUACGUCCUACGGGAGAAAGCAGGGGAUCACUUGUGACCUUGCGCUAAUAGAUGAGCCUAAGUCGGAUUAGCUAGUUGGUGGGGUAAAGGCCUACCAAGGCGACGAUCUGUAGCGGGUCUGAGAGGAUGAUCCGCCAAACUGGGACUGAGACACGGCCCAGACUCCUACGGGAGGCAGCAGUGGGGAAUAUUGGACAAUGGGGGGAACCCUGAUCCAGCCAUGCCGCGUGUGUGAAGAAGGCCUUAUGGUUGUAAAGCACUUUAAGCGAGGAGGAGGCUCUUUUGGUUAAUACCCAAGAUGAGUGGACGUUACUCGCAGAAUAAGCACCGGCUAACUCUGUGCCAGCAGCCGCCGUAA